rnacentral:rRNA from 1 species
GGUUAAGUGACUAAGCGUACACGGUGGAUGCCUUGGCAGUCAGAGGCGAUGAAAGACGUAGUAACUUGCGAUAAGCCCAGAUUAGGUAGUAACAACCAUUUGAGUCUGGGAUUUCUGAAUGGGGAAACCCACUUACAUAAGUAAGUAUCAUUAACUGAAUACAUAGGUUAAUGAGGCGAACCGGGGAACUGAAACAUCUAAGUACCCCGAGGAAAAGAAAUCAACCGAGAUUCCGAAAGUAGCGGCGAGCGAAAUUGGACUAGCCCUUAAGCUUUACACGCGUUAGACGAACGGUCUGGAAAGUCCGACGAUACAGGGUGAUAGUCCCGUAGUUGACGACGUGUGUUCAGUGAAAUCGAGUAGGGCGGGACACGUGAUAUCCUGUCUGAAUAUGGGGGACCAUCCUCCAAGGCUAAAUACUACUGACUGACCGAUAGUGAACCAGUACCGUGAGGGAAAGGCGAAAAGAACCCCUGUGAGGGGAGUGAAAUAGAACCUGAAACCGUGUACGUACAAGCAGUAGGAGCAGGCUUUGUCCUGUGACUGCGUACCUUUUGUAUAAUGGGUCAGCGACUUAUAUUCAGUGGCAAGGUUAACCAUCUAGGGGAGCCGUAGGGAAACCGAGUCUUAACUGGGCGUUCAGUCUCUGGAUAUAGACCCGAAACCAGGUGAUCUAGCCAUGGGCAGGUUGAAGGUUGAGUAACAUCAACUGGAGGACCGAACCGACUAAUGUUGAAAAAUUAGCGGAUGACUUGUGGCUAGGGGUGAAAGGCCAAUCAAACCUGGAGAUAGCUGGUUCUCCCCGAAAGCUAUUUAGGUAGCGCCUCGGACGAAUACUACUGGGGGUAGAGCACUGUUAAGGCUAGGGGUCAUCCCGACUUACCAACCCUUUGCAAACUCCGAAUACCAGUAAGUACUAUCCGGGAGACACACGGCGGGUGCUAACGUCCGUCGUGGAGAGGGAAACAACCCAGACCGCCAGCUAAGGUCCCAAAUUACUACUAAGUGGGAAACGAUGUGGGAAGGCUCAGACAGCCAGGAUGUUGGCUUAGAAGCAGCCAUCAUUUAAAGAAAGCGUAAUAGCUCACUGGUCGAGUCGGCCUGCGCGGAAGAUGUAACGGGGCUAAGUAGUAAACCGAAGCUGCGGCAAUAUACUUUUGUAUAUUGGGUAGGGGAGCGUUCUGUAAGCGGUUGAAGGUGUGUGGUAACGCAUGCUGGACGUAUCAGAAGUGCGAAUGCUGACAUGAGUAACGAUAAAGGGGUGAAAAACCUCCUCGCCGGAAGACCAAGGGUUCCUGUCCAACGUUAAUCGGGGCAGGGUAAGUCGACCCCUAAGGCGAGGCCGAAAGGCGUAGUCGAUGGGAAACGGGUUAAUAUUCCCGUACUUCUUACAAUUGCGAUGGGGGACGGAGAAGGCUAGGUGGGCCUGGCGACGGUUGUCCAGGUUCAAGUGCGUAGGCUUAAGAGUUAGGUAAAUCCGGCUCUUUUUAAGGCUGAGACACGACGUCGAGCACCUACGGGUGUGAAGUCAUUGAUGCCAUGCUUCCAGGAAAAGCCUCUAAGCUUCAGAUUGUAAGGAAUCGUACCCCAAACCGACACAGGUGGUCGGGUAGAGAAUACCAAGGCGCUUGAGAGAACUCGGGUGAAGGAACUAGGCAAAAUGGUACCGUAACUUCGGGAGAAGGUACGCUCUUGAUGGUGAAGUCCCUCGCGGAUGGAGCUGACGAGAGUCGCAGAUACCAGGUGGCUGCAACUGUUUAUUAAAAACACAGCACUGUGCAAAAUCGUAAGAUGACGUAUACGGUGUGACGCCUGCCCGGUGCCGGAAGGUUAAUUGAUGGGGUUAGACUUCGGUCGAAGCUCUUGAUCGAAGCCCCGGUAAACGGCGGCCGUAACUAUAACGGUCCUAAGGUAGCGAAAUUCCUUGUCGGGUAAGUUCCGACCUGCACGAAUGGCGUAAUGAUGGCCACGCUGUCUCCACCCGAGACUCAGUGAAAUUGAAAUCGCUGUGAAGAUGCAGUGUACCCGCGGCUAGACGGAAAGACCCCGUGAACCUUUACUACAGCUUGGCACUGAACAUUGACCCUACAUGUGUAGGAUAGGUGGGAGGCUUUGAAGCACGUACGCCAGUAUGUGUGGAGCCGUCCUUGAAAUACCACCCUUGUAGUGUUGAUGUUCUAACGUCGACCCCUAAUCGGGGUUGCGGACAGUGCCUGGUGGGUAGUUUGACUGGGGCGGUCUCCUCCCAAAGAGUAACGGAGGAGCACGAAGGUGGGCUAAUCACGGUUGGACAUCGUGAGGUUAGUGCAAUGGCAUAAGCCCGCUUGACUGCGAGAAUGACAAUUCGAGCAGGUGCGAAAGCAGGUCAUAGUGAUCCGGUGGUUCUGAAUGGAAGGGCCAUCGCUCAACGGAUAAAAGGUACUCCGGGGAUAACAGGCUGAUACCGCCCAAGAGUUCAUAUCGACGGCGGUGUUUGGCACCUCGAUGUCGGCUCAUCACAUCCUGGGGCUGAAGUCGGUCCCAAGGGUAUGGCUGUUCGCCAUUUAAAGUGGUACGCGAGCUGGGUUUAGAACGUCGUGAGACAGUUCGGUCCCUAUCUGCCGUGGGCGUUGGAAGAUUGAAGGGGCUGCUCCUAGUACGAGAGGACCGGAGUGGACGAACCUCUGGUGUUCGGGUUGUGUCGCCAGACGCAUUGCCCGGUAGCUAAGUUCGGAAUCGAUAACCGCUGAAAGCAUCUAAGCGGGAAGCGAGCCCUGAGAUGAGUCUUCCCUGAUACUUUAAGUAUCCUAAAGGGUUGUCGGAGACUACGACGUUGAUAGGUCAGGUGUGUAAGUGCUGUGAGGCAUUGAGCUAACUGAUACUAAUUGCCCGUGAGGCUUAACCAU